AGAGUUUGAUCCUGGCUCAGAGUGAACGCUGGCGGUAGGCCUAACGCAUGCAAGUCGAACGGCAGCACAGGAGAGCUUGCUCUCUGGGUGGCGAGUGGCGGACGGGUGAGGAAUACAUCGGAAUCUACUUUUUCGUGGGGGAUAACGUAGGGAAACUUACGCUAAUACCGCAUACGACCUACGGGUGAAAGCAGGGGAUCUUCGGACCUUGCGCGAUUGAAUGAGCCGAUGUCGGAUUAGCUAGUUGGCGGGGUAAAGGCCCACCAAGGCGACGAUCCGUAGCUGGUCUGAGAGGAUGAUCAGCCACACUGGAACUGAGACACGGUCCAGACUCCUACGGGAGGCAGCAGUGGGGAAUAUUGGACAAUGGGCGCAAGCCUGAUCCAGCCAUACCGCGUGGGUGAAGAAGGCCUUCGGGUUGUAAAGCCCUUUUGUUGGGAAAGAAAUCCAGCUGGUUAAUACCCGGUUGGGAUGACGGUACCCAAAGAAUAAGCACCGGCUAACUUCGUGCCAGCAGCCGCGGUAAUACGAAGGGUGCAAGCGUUACUCGGAAUUACUGGGCGUAAAGCGUGCGUAGGUGGUCGUUUAAGUCCGUUGUGAAAGCCCUGGGCUCAACCUGGGAACUGCAGUGGAUACUGGGCGACUAGAAUGUGGUAGAGGGUAGCGGAAUUCCUGGUGUAGCAGUGAAAUGCGUAGAGAUCAGGAGGAACAUCCAUGGCGAAGGCAGCUACCUGGACCAACAUUGACACUGAGGCACGAAAGCGU
rnacentral:rRNA from 1 species